rnacentral:rRNA from 1 species
GACGAACGCUGGCGGCAUGCCUAACACAUGCAAGUCGAACGAAGGCUUCGGCCUUAGUGGCGCACGGGUGCGUAACGCGUGGGGAUCUGCCCUUUGCUUCGGAAUAACAGUUAGAAAUGACUGCUAAUACCGGAUGAUGUCGUAAGACCAAAGAUUUAUCGGCAAAGGAUGAACCCGCGUAGGAUUAGCUAGUUGGUAGGGUAAAGGCCUACCAAGGCGACGAUCCUUAGCUGGUCUGAGAGGAUGAUCAGCCACACUGGGACUGAGACACGGCCCAGACUCCUACGGGAGGCAGCAGUGGGGAAUAUUGGACAAUGGGCGAAAGCCUGAUCCAGCAAUGCCGCGUGAGUGAUGAAGGCCUUAGGGUUGUAAAGCUCUUUUACCCGGGAUGAUAAUGACAGUACCGGGAGAAUAAGCUCCGGCUAACUCCGUGCCAGCAGCCGCAGUAA